AGUGAACGCUGGCGGUAGGCCUAACACAUGCAAGUCGAACGGCAGCACAGUAAGAGCUUGCUCUUACGGGUGGCGAGUGGCGGACGGGUGAGGAAUACAUCGGAAUCUACUUUUUCGUGGGGGAUAACGUAGGGAAACUUACGCUGAUACCGCAUACGACCUACGGGUGAAAGCAGGGGAUCUUCGGACCUUGCGCGAUUGAAUGAGCCGAUGUCGGAUUAGCUAGUUGGCGGGGUAAAGGCCCACCAAGGCGACGAUCCGUAGCUGGUCUGAGAGGAUGAUCAGCCACACUGGAACUGAGACACGGUCCAGACUCCUACGGGAGGCAGCAGUGGGGAAUAUUGGACAAUGGGCGCAAGCCUGAUCCAGCCAUACCGCGUGGGUGAAGAAGGCCUUCGGGUUGUAAAGCCCUUUUGUUGGGAAAGAAAAGCAGCAGGUUAAUACCCCGCUGUUCUGACGGUACCCAAAGAACAAGCACCGGCUAACUUCGUG
rnacentral:rRNA from 1 species